GGAUCGAACCCAUGUCUCUUAGGUCCUCUGCAUGGACAGUGCCACCUGGGAAGCCCACUGGGUUAAGGAGAUGUGCGAUAACCUCCCGAUGCUUCCUCAAGGCUCAACCUGAAUUUCUAACAGCAACGCACAUGGAGCAGUGUUGAAUAAGCAUCUGUAUCCUCUAGUCUUAGGCUGUAUGCUUUUCCCCCUAAAACAGAGCUGAAGUCAAAAUCAUACUGAUGCUUCUCCAGCAAAAUUGUCUCUUUGACUUUUCAUCUGGUAUGCUUCCUGAUGGACAUAGGAAAACGUUGGAGACAGAGCAAUCCUCUCAGAGGGGCUGAACGUUCCAUCUCAGAAGCAGUGCAUAUUUCUUAUUAGUGACAACUUUAAGCAUGCUUCUGUGUAAAGGCAUGAAAGAUGUUUUGAACAAUGUCCCUCCAUUAAUACCAAAUUAUA